GACGAACGCUGGCGGCGUGCCUAAUACAUGCAAGUCGAACGAACAGAUAAGGAGUUUUGGCCCUUGGCUUUGGCGAGGGACGGAUGAGUAACUAAUGCGUGGCCUACCUAUCUGACUGGGGUGAUUACCCGAGAUCAGGGCUUAGGACUGAUGACAUUUAGAACCUCAUUGUUCUAACGUUGGAGAUGGUUUUGCUAAGACUUAUAGACUACCCCGCGCCGGAUUAGUUAGUUGGUAAGGUAACGGCUUAGCAAGGCAAGGAUACGUAGCCGACCUGAGAGGGUGAUCGGCCACACUGGAACUGAGACACGGUCCAGACUCCUACGGGAGGCAGCAGUAGGGAAUCUUCCGCAAUGGGCGAAAGCCUGACGGAGCAACGCCGCGUGAGUGAUGAAGGUCUUCGGAUCGUAAAACUCUGUUAUUAGGGAAGAACAAAUGUGUAAGUAACUGUGAAGGUCUUGACGGUACCUAAUCAGAAAGCCACGGCUAACUACGUG
rnacentral:rRNA from 1 species